rnacentral:lncRNA from 1 species
UCACAUUGGUGGACAUUGUGAAUGCACAAUUCCAUCAUUUCCUCUAUCAUCUUCAUAUACCAGAACUUUAAGUCAUUCCCCAGUAGAUGGACAUCCCUUCAAUUUCCAAUUCUUUGCCACCACAAGAAGAGCAUAUAUAAGAAUGGAUGCACUCAAAUCUGAAUAGUUUCCUGAUCAAGAUUUCAAUUGUUUCAUUACCAUAGAAAUGGG